UACAGAGGGUGCGAGCGUUAAUCGGAAUUACUGGGCGUAAAGCGUGCGCAGGCGGCCGAGCAAGUCGAGUGUGAAAUCCCCGGGCUUAACUUGGGAAUUGCGCUCGAAACUACUUGGCUGGAGUGUGGCAGAGGAAGGUGGAAUUCCACGUGUAGCGGUGAAAUGCGUAGAGAUGUGGAGGAACACCGAUGGCGAAGGCAGCCUUCUGGGCCAACACUGACGCUCAUGCACGAAAGCGUGGGGAGCAAACAGG
rnacentral:rRNA from 1 species